rnacentral:rRNA from 2 species
AUCUGGUGGUUAUAGCAUAGAGGUCACACCUGUUCCCAUGCCGAACACAGAAGUUAAGCUCUAUUACGGUGAAAAUAUUACUUAUGUGAGAAGAUAGCAAGCUGCCAGUUU